AACGAACGCUGGCGGCAUGCCUAAUACAUGCAAGUCGAACGAGAUCUUCGGAUCUAGUGGCGCACGGGUGCGUAACGCGUGGGAAUCUGCCCUUGGGUUCGGAAUAACUUCUGGAAACGGAAGCUAAUACCGGAUGAUGACGUAAGUCCAAAGAUUUAUCGCCCAAGGAUGGGCCCGCGUAGGAUUAGGUAGUUGGUGAGGUAAAGGCUCACCAAGCCGACGAUCCUUAGCUGGUUUGAGAGGAUGAUCAGCCACACUGGGACUGAGACACGGCCCAGACUCCUACGGGAGGCAGCAGUAGGGAAUAUUGGACAAUGGGCGAAAGCCUGAUCCAGCAAUGCCGCGUGAGUGAUGAAGGCCUUAGGGUUGUAAAGCUCUUUUACCCGGGAUGAUAAUGACAGUACCGGGAGAAUAAGCUCCGGCUAACUCCGUG
rnacentral:rRNA from 1 species